GAUGAAGAACGUAGCGAAAUGCGAUAAGUAGUGUGAAUUGCAGAAUUCAGUGAAUCAUCGAAUCUUUGAACGCACAUUGCGCCUUCUAGUAUUCUGGGAGGCAUGCCUGUUUGAGCGUCAUUAAACCUCUCUCAAGUAUGAUUACUUGGAUGUGAAGGAAGAGUACCUUAAACUUAAGGAGUGUUCUCCUUUGAAAUUGAUUAGCAGAUGGUAAUGUUAUUAAAUCCCUGAUGUUGUAAGAAAUAACAGUGGUUUUGUAGACUAUUAUCUAGCGUUAAAUUAUAAUUUUUAUUAUGGUUGACCUCAAAUCAGGUAAGGAUACCCGCUGAACUUAAGCAUAUCAAUAAGCGGAGGA
rnacentral:misc_RNA from 1 species